CCUACGGGAGGCAGCAGUGGGGAAUUUUGGACAAUGGGCGCAAGCCUGAUCCAGCCAUGCCGCGUGAGUGAAGAAGGCCUUCGGGUUGUAAAGCUCUUUCGGCAGGAACGAAAUGGUUCGUGCUAAUACCACGGACUGAUGACGGUACCUGAAGAAGAAGCACCGGCUAACUACGUGCCAGCAGCCGCGGUAAUACGUAGGGUGCAGGCGUUAAUCGGAAUUACUGGGCGUAAAGCGUGCGCAGGCGGUUUCUUAAGUCAGAUGUGAAAGCCCCGGGCUUAACCUGGGAACUGCGUUUGAAACUGGGAGACUUGAGUGUGGCAGAGGGGGGUGGAAUUCCACGUGUAGCAGUGAAAUGCGUAGAUAUGUGGAGGAACACCGAUGGCGAAGGCAGCCCCCUGGGCUAACACUGACGCUCAUGCACGAAAGCGUGGGGAGCAAAACGAGGAUUAGACUACCCGUAGGUACGUCCACGACCCUAAACUAUGUACAACUGGUUGUCGGGAGAUUAACUCUCGUUAGGUAACGAAGACGUACGCGUGUAAGUAGACCGCCGUCGGGAGGUACGGCCGCGAACGGUUAAACGUACGAAGGAAGUAGACGGCGUGAGACGUAGCCGACGGACGACGACGAGGGAGGAGG
rnacentral:rRNA from 1 species